GAGAGAUGAAAUUCGAGUCCAUAGAACGUUUACUUGUGUGUUGGGAUUGUAUGAGGCAUGCACGACGAAUUUCCUCACUCCUCUGCUAAUAGCACCGGUCCCACCACUUAAUCUCGUCGUGUUGACGGUCACCUUGAACGUGCUGGCAGAGGAAGGAGACAACCUGUUGGCAACAAUAGAGGAAAUCAAUUUACCCGUCUACGCAAUGCGCUGCUGUCAAAACAAUUGAAGUGGAAAUCAAGGUUCCGCCACAUGAACGACCACCGAGGUUCAAGGCAGCCUAAAAUGAAAUACUGAGUUUCAUUAAUUCUUACCAUGAUUUAAAAAAUUUAGACCAACACAGCUAUGCAAUUAAUUCGGCUACUUAUUUUGCAGACGUUGUAUCUACCUGAUAUGGAAAUUCGCCUACAAGGGCAGCAGUUCCACCGACAAUUUUAUUCGCAUCUGCCGUAAUUUGUUUCCGCAAAGAUUGGCGGUUGAACUUAACUUCUGCGUGCAUUAAUAAUAUAAAACGAUUGGCUCCAAAAUCGUUAAUUCUUACCUCCGUAAUUGAGAAGACUAGGAAGAGAACUGGAAAGUGCAUAAUUAACGAGGCACAUCAACCCGAUAGCCUGUUUAACAAUAGUACGACAUUUUAAAGAAAACUAGUUUUAGUUAAUGCCAAAUUCUGUUAUCCACUCUGAACUGAGGAGCCAACAGUUUUAAAUGGUCAUACCAAGAACAUGGUGCGCAUCGCGAGUUACUUGCAAGGGUAAGCAGAUACAAUAAGCCAAUGCUAAUGUGAGUGAUGACCAACUGAGGGGAAACUGCCGCCUUUUAAACCUCCUGGUAAAUGCAGGAUAAUACAAGAAACAACAGCCGUCAGAUGGAAAGUAAUGCAAGAAUGAAGUCAUCAGGUUGAACUCUGUUAUACGCAUGUGGACACAAGAUGGGCAACAUCGUACAAGUGCAACGCAAGUGUUUCAAAACCACGACUCGUCUUGCUGCAAUGGACCCUUGAGUAUUUAUCUAACAAUCACUGAUUUACACCGGGUUGCCCCCAAACGAGACCGACGCCUAAUAGCUGCCCCUUCCAAUUAGGACUCGUCCCCGAUUACCUGAGAUCCGACUUAUUACCGUACGGUACUGGCGCUACAGAUGUAAAUGUAUCAAAAAAUUCCGUUUAUUUAAUUUUCCCUACGCACCAGUAUGUUACGGCAUCAAGCGGGAUCUCGGGAUCUACCCCCCAUAUCCAAUUGCGUUGUUCUUUCUAGCGAAGAGAAGAGGCUUCCUAAAAAUUGUGUUCCUUAUUGAUUUUUUUUGUAAAUUGACAGUUCCUCAUUCACUAACUUACUGUUUAAAUAACUGCUGCUAAGAGUUGUAAAAAAACAAAAUCAGUCCAAUUUAAUCGAAUAAUAACAGUGAAAUCGUGUGACGUGUUAAAACCAUAUUCCAGAGUGAAUUUCUCCCCAAGCUUCAUCAGUUCG